CCUGGAUAAAAACUCUGUCUAGAGCUUCCUAAUCAUACAUCCAGAGUUUUAAAUUAAUGAUUCUCAGUAAAGAAUCUCUGGGCCAGGUCAUGGGAUUCUGUACCAGAUACAAGUUCUGAAGGUAAUGCUGACAGGCAUCCAGGUUGAGACCACUGCAUUACCACUAGAAUUGAAAUACACAACACUUCCCACUUAAAGAAAAAGAAGUAUACUCUGUGGAUACCUCACGGCUGUUUUUAAUUUCAGGUAUAAUUACUGGAAAAGAGAAAUGUUUCUUCCUUAAUGUAUUUCUGCAACCAGAAGAAAGUGGUGUCCCACAAAUCUUUGGAACAUCUAAGAGAAUCACAAUCACAGCCACAGAGAUCUGGACGCUGUGUCUGCUCCAAGCAACUUACUCCUCUAAGAUGGACCUUCAACUUGCCCUCAGCUCUUCUAAAACCCUGCUGUCUGGGGGAGAUGAGAGCUCACUCUAAACAAGUUCACAAGCAUAUGUAAAAUAUUUCUGUUUGGACAUGAGCCAAGUGCAGAGCACCCUGCCUUGCAUUGCAAACAGUUCCAAAGAGCCUGGGGAAUCCAGAAACCCUGGCCACACGUUUAUGGGCCUGGCUUCUCCCAUCUUUGCACAGAUUCAUGAUUCUUUAAAGAAUGAACACUCCUUACUGACUUUUGGAUUCUGAACCAGGGACCUUCUCGGACUCCCUCCCAGAGGGACAGCUGACUUCUCUCCAAUCUAAGGAGAGUUGAGAGAUGUCAGGCCUUGAUCAAGCUGAUAGUCCCUUGAUAUCUCAACACCUCCCCCACCUCUGCUGUGACGGGUAAGAGCCGAGCUUGCCGGUACUGGUACAGUAUGAAGAGAGGAAGGAGUCUUUGUGACAGAGAAGGAAAGGGGGACAGGUGGUCAGAUGGAAUGAGAAGGCCCCCAGCCAGCUCUUUGAGAGAAGGUAAUGCAUUUGAUGUACUCUAAUGGUACCCCUGGCUGAGGGGCCAUAUGGAGCCCUGGAUACUGCAUAAUUCCAUCUUACUCCCCAGUUGAGACCCCCUUUUCCUGCCGAAAUCACAUUGUCCAUUGGGUCACGCAGUUGCCACUGGUAUUUCCUACUGCUCUCACUCAGAAGGGAAAGGUUAAAAAUACAAGGUGUACCCUGACAUCUGAUCCUAGAGCAUCUUUUAUAAUCAGAGUUUGGCCAAACUUUAGCAUUGCAGAGCCUUCUGGGAAUGUAUUAUUUCAAAUACCUGCAUUUAGAGACAGUUAAAGUUAAGUCUUUAAGCUGUGGGACGGAAACUGGUAGGACAAACAGCCAAAUUGGGCUGUGUAUGUACCUGGAGACUUUGGCUGGCUCAUACCACUCCCUAUGAUGGCAAGCCCUCCUGAUUGACACAGCUAAGUCCUAUGCCUGGUCCACAAAGGCAUUUGGGUUCAUAAGCUCUGCUUAGGCGUUGACAUUUUUAGGCGGC
rnacentral:lncRNA from 1 species